CGCCGGUGAGAGACGGUCAAGGACGUUGCUUUGAUUCGCCCUCGUACGAGAAAUAACCUACUUGAAGAAGCUAUAAUAAGCGAAAACACUCUGGAGUCUCACAAGUCGCUAAAUAAACGUGGAAAAUCGAACAAGUACGACGACGCCGCAAAUCUAGACGCCGCCGAGUCGGAUAGCACGAUACUGAAACCGAGGCAAGCAUCAGUAGACUCCUUAUUGGAUUCCGGCAUAGGCGACAGUUGUAACAGCAUCGAUAGCACAGAAAAGUUCGAUAUAGCCGAAUUAAAGAAUAGAAGAUUGGAGAGACACUGCUGGUAACCAAAGAUUCGGGAGAGCCUCGCUUCUAGACUACCAGAAAAUUCCUACUAUCAAUUGGCAGGUACAUUUUCCCUGGCGCGGAGGUUUAUUCCAAAUCUGAGCCGUACGAUCAAUGUUCCCUCUCGGCAAACUCCGAGCGCACAGAUAGCAACAGCGAUUCCUCUUCCGGAGAAGAAGAAGAAGACGAAGAGGAAGAGACAUGCGCGGACGAUGAUCUAUCAGAGGACGCAAACAUCGACGCUAACAGUCAGAACAACGAGAGCAAAUUGUUCACUUAAAUUGUUCACCAUUUUUACUAUCUACACGAGGAUUAUAAAAAAGCGAUCGAGAUUGCUUUUAGCUUACCGCACUUAUCCGUAAUUAUUUCUUCUCCACCACAAAUAAUCUAUUUAAUCUACUUCGUAUGUGUAAGAUGUACAUAAUGGAAUUUGCAAUAAUAUUUCUAAUAAAAUUAUUAAAUAUUUA